rnacentral:rRNA from 1 species
GAUGAACGCUGGAGGCGUGCCUAAUACAUGCAAGUCGAGCGAACAGACGAGGAGCUUGCUCCUCUGACGUUAGCGGCGGACGGGUGAGUAACACGUGGAUAACCUACCUAUAAGACUGGGAUAACUUCGGGAAACCGGAGCUAAUACCGGAUAAUAUAUUGAACCGCAUGGUUCAAUAGUGAAAGACGGUUUUGCUGUCACUUAUAGAUGGAUCCGCGCCGCAUUAGCUAGUUGGUAAGGUAACGGCUUACCAAGGCAACGAUGCGUAGCCGACCUGAGAGGGUGAUCGGCCACACUGGAACUGAGACACGGUCCAGACUCCUACGGGAGGCAGCAGUAGGGAAUCUUCCGCAAUGGGCGAAAGCCUGACGGAGCAACGCCGCGUGAGUGAUGAAGGUCUUCGGAUCGUAAAACUCUGUUAUUAGGGAAGAACAAAUGUGUAAGUAACUAUGCACGUCUUGACGGUACCUAAUCAGAAAGCCACGGCUAACUACGUG